rnacentral:rRNA from 1 species
UCCCACCUGCCCUGUGAUCAAAAAUUUAACGGCCGCGGUAUCCUAACCGUGCGAAGGUAGCGCAAUCAAUUGCCUUUUAAAUGAAGGCCUGUAUGAACGGUAUAACGAGGGUUUGACUGUCUCUUUUUUCAAGUCAGUUAAACUGAUCUGUCCGUGCAGAAGCGGACAUAAUACUACAAGACGAGAAGACCCUAUGGAGCUUUAAACACUAACCAACCACAAAAAGCAAUAUAAGCUAGACAUACUCCAAACUCUGUGGAAAUGGAAUAACAGUUUUAGGUUGGGGCGACCACGGGAGAAAAAAAAGCUCCCGAGCAGAUCGGGAAAAAUCCUGAAACCAAGAGCUACAGCUCUAAGUCACAAAAAUUUUGACUGAAAUGAUCCGGCUACAGCCGAUUAACGAACCAAGUUACCCUAGGGAUAACAGCGCAAUCCCCUUCCAGAGUCCAUAUCGACAAGGGGGUUUACGACCUCGAUGUUGGAUCAGGACAUCCUAAUGGUGCAACCGCUAUUAAGGGUUCGUUUGUUCAACGAUUAAAGUCCUACAUGAUCUG